rnacentral:lncRNA from 1 species
UAUAUAGUUGACAGUAUUUUCAUAUGUAUUUAUCUUAUGUAAAUGCAGUCUCUGUUACAAUCAAGAUGCAAUUUGUUUGCUUCUAUGUUUCAUACUCUAAUAAAUAUGACUGGUAAACAUUUAUCAUUGAUUAUCAUUUGUCUAUUUUAUAUCUGUAUUAAUUUUAUUUACAUAGUGUGGUUUAUGUAACCUUAGAAAAAUAGUAAAAGCCAAUUUAUCAAAUCAAA